AUUUGAUGAAGCCUCUGUUUCAAACUCUAUUUUGUCCAUAUAAGCAUUGGUACUCAGGCUUUCGUAUCACUUCCAUUUGCGUGAUAAAUGCUUUUCCAUCACUUCACUUUCCGUCUUCAUGUGUCCUUAGGUCUGAAAUGAGUUUUU